GGACCCGCACAAGCAGUGGAGUAUGUGGUUUAAUUCGACGCAACGCGAAGAACCUUACCAAGGCUUGACAUAGUACUGAAUAUGGUGGAAACAUCAUAGUCCUUCGGGACAGUAUUACAGGUGGUGCAUGGUUGUCGUCAGCUCGUGUCGUGAGAUGUUGGGUUAAGUCCCGCAACGAGCGCAACCCCUUUUAUUAGUUGCCAUCAGGUAAAGCUGGGAACUCUAAUGAUACUGCCGGUGAUAAAUCGGAGGAAGGUGGGGAUGACGUCAAAUCAUCAUGCCCCUUAUGUCUUGGGCUACACACGUACUACAAUGGCUAUUACAACAGGAAGCGAAAGAGUAAUCUGGAGCAAAUCCCCAAAGAUAGUCCCAGUUCGGAUUGUGGGCUGCAACUCGCCCACAUGAAGUCGGAAUUGCUAGUAAUCGCAGGUCAGCAUACUGCAGUGAAUACGUUCCCGGGUCUU
rnacentral:rRNA from 1 species